GUGUUUUUGUUUCUCCAGAUAUACUUUGAAAUCAACAUGAAGACAUGUGGUGUGACAAGGACAUAUUUAUUAAACAAACCGUAGCCCUUGAAGCUUCACAUGGGUAGCAGUAGAUAACAGACCAAAAAAAAAAAAAUGCACUGCUAGAAAUGGGAAUAACUUUCAGCUUUUCAAAGGGACGACUAAAUGAUAUCGUAUGGACCGUAGCUCCCGGACACACACCGGGUUGAUACUUCUCAGCUUCCAGGAUCAACAUUUUGGUGGUUUCUGAACCAGUUUCGAAUUUCUCAUCUUAAACACGCGCUAGCUUCAAUGCCGCUUAGGGGCGAGGAGAAUUGAGUGCGUGAUCCAGUGCCUAUUAUUUUCUGUUGCUUAGCAAUUCCACUUUUGCGAGAGGUGGAAAUGUCGAUGUCACCUCAGUAGAGGAGAUUAACAAUGCGUCUUCAUAAAGGUAACACGAAACGUGACCUUAAGGAAUCUAAAAUACCUCAGGAAUCACUACACCUUUCACAGGAUGAAGAUCUUCCCUGCAAAGAAAUAGUCUGGAAGAUUUAGCCACUAGAGGGCUGAAAGCAAGCAGGGAGGUAAUGAAAGAGAACAAGGGCCUAAACCAUCAUGGCUUAUUAUCACCAGUCACCUCUUCGGUCUCUAUUAAAACUCUGUCACACUUCGAGUCUAUGGAUUUUUCAUGAAGGACGAGAAUAGUUUCAAGUCCGAUUAGAUCUGUUCUAUGAUGAGACCACACCUUAUGCCCGGAACUAGAAAGGUGGCGAGAAGGGAAAAAUUGUUACACAUGUUAACCGUAACUUCCAUGAGACAGUAAAAGUGAAAAGAGCUUUGACUUGGGAUGGGAAAACGGAGUGGAUUUCUUUAUGUCAUUGUGGAAGACUUUCAUCACUGACAGCAUAUCAGUAUAAAUUUGGGCUGGAUACAGUAACUAUGGGGGCAUCACCUGUUUGCUUCAUUUGCUUAUAUUUUGUCAGAUUCAUUUUUAACAAAUAAAAUGCUAUUAUGCCAG